UUCUGAUCUUAAAACUCGGAGGCUAUGGCAUACUACGAAUCACAUCAAUUCUUAAUCCCCUAACAGAACACAUAGCCUAUCCUUUCCUUGUACUAUCCCUAUGAGGAAUAAUCAUAACCAGUUCUAUCUGUUUACGCCAAACAGAUCUAAAAUCACUAAUCGCAUACUCCUCAGUCAGCCACAUAGCACUCGUCAUUGCAGCUAUCCUUAUCCAAACCCCUUGAAGUUACAUAGGAGCUACCACCUUAAUAAUUGCCCAUGGCCUUACAUCCUCCAUAUUAUUCUUUUUAGCAAAUUCAAACUACGAACGUAUUCAUAGCCGAACCAUAAUCCUAGCACGAGGCCUACAAAUUUUUUUCCCACUAAUAGCUACCUGAUGACUAUUAGCAUGCCUAACAAACCUCGCCCUACCCCCUACCAUCAACCUGAUCGGAGAACUACUCGUAAUUAUAUCAACUUUCUCAUGAUCAAACCUCACUAUCAUCCUCAUGGGAACAACUAUUGUAAUCACAGCCUUCUACUCCCUAUACAUACUAAUCAUAACACAACGUGGCAAACAUACACCAUAUUAACAACCUUACCCCUACUUUUACA